rnacentral:rRNA from 1 species
CGAAAACGAAUUCUCUCUUGAGUGGAUCCUGAGUACGACGGAGCACGUGAAAUUCCGUCGGAAUCUGGGAGGACCAUCUCCUAAGGCUAAAUACUCUCUAGUGACCGAUAGUGAACCAGUACCGUGAGGGAAAGGUGAAAAGUACCCCGGAAGGGGAGUGAAAGAGAACUUGAAACCGUGUGCUUACAAGUAGUCAGAGCCCGUUAAUGGGUGAUGGCGUGCCUUUUGUAGAAUGAACCGGCGAGUUACGAUCUGAUGCAAGGUUAAGCAGAAAAUGUGGAGCCGUAGCGAAAGCGAGUCUGAAUAGGGCGAAUGAGUAUUUGGUCGUAGACCCGAAACCAGGUGAUCUACCCUUGGUCAGGUUGAAGUUCAGGUAACACUGAAUGGAGGACCGAACCGACUUACGUUGAAAAGUGAGCGGAUGAACUGAGGGUAGCGGAGAAAUUCCAAUCGAACUUGGAGAUAGCUGGUUCUCUCCGAAAUAGCUUUAGGGCUAGCCUCAAGUGAUGAUUAUU